rfam:Lentisphaerae bacterium RIFOXYB12_FTLL_65_16 rifoxyb3_full_scaffold_103, whole genome shotgun sequence.
CCCAGGGCGCUGCCCUGGGCUGGUAUGUACCGCGCUUUCAGCGCU